GGACGGUCCUGCGACUGAAGUCACCACAACAGAUGCUGUACAAGUUAUAGAAGCAGCACAAUUAGCUGGCGUUGGACAUGUGGCCAUAGUCUAUGAUGAAUCUUCUCCAGUAGGCUCUACAUACAAUGUGCUCGACGGAAUUACAUCAUUCUUCAACAAUCUGUUCUCAAAAUCUCAACCGUUGACGAUAGCAGAGUUUCUGCAGAAGAUAGU
rnacentral:misc_RNA from 1 species